UACCAGCACCCCGAGUGGUCGGGACGUUUAUUGGGCCUAAAGCAUCCGUAGCCGGUCCUGCGAGUCUUCCGUUAAAUCCAGCUGCUCAACAGAUGGGCUGCGGAAGAUACUACAGGGCUAGGAGGCGGGAGAGGCAAGCGGUACUUUAUGGGUAGGGGUAAAAUCCUUUGAUCCAUAGAAGACCACCAGUGGCGAAGGCGGCUUGCCAGAACGCGCUCGACGGUGAGGGAUGAAAGCUGGGGGAGCAAACCGG
rnacentral:rRNA from 1 species